rnacentral:rRNA from 1 species
UCCGGCGACCGGCGCACGGGUGAGUAACACGUAUGCGAACCUGCCCUCUUCAGGGGGACGAACCUUCCGAAAGGGAGGCUAAUCCCGCGUAUAUCGGUUUCGGGCAUCCGAGAUCGAGGAAAGAUUCAUCGGAAGAGGAUGGGCAUGCGGCGCAUUAGCUAGACGGCGGGGUAACGGCCCACCGUGGCGACGAUGCGUAGGGGUUCUGAGAGGAAGGUCCCCCACACUGGUACUGAGACACGGACCAGACUCCUACGGGAGGCAGCAG